rnacentral:rRNA from 1 species
UACGAAGGGGGCUAGCGUUGCUCGGAAUCACUGGGAGUAAAGGGCGCGUAGGCGGCGUUUUAAGUCGGGGGUGAAAGCCUGUGGCUCAACCACAGAAUGGCCUUCGAUACUGGGACGCUUGAGUAUGGUAGAGGUUGGUGGAACUGCGAGUGUAGAGGUGAAAUUCGUAGAUAUUCGCAAGAACACCGGUGGCGAAGGCGGCCAACUGGACCAUUACUGACGCUGAGGCGCGAAAGCGUGGGGAGCAAACAGG